AGGAGCUUGCUUCUCUGGAUGAGUUGCGAACGGGUGAGUAACGCGUAGGUAACCUGCCUGGUAGCGGGGGAUAACUAUUGGAAACGAUAGCUAAUACCGCAUAACGUCGCAAGACCAAAGAGGGGGACCUUCGGGCCUCUUGCCAUCGGAUGUGCCCAGAUGGGAUUAGCUAGUAGGUGGGGUAACGGCUCACCUAGGCGACGAUCCCUAGCUGGUCUGAGAGGAUGACCAGCCACACUGGAACUGAGACACGGUCCAGACUCCUACGGGAGGCAGCAGUGGGGAAUAUUGCACAAUGGGCGCAAGCCUGAUGCAGCCAUGCCGCGUGUAUGAAGAAGGCCUUCGGGUUGUAAAGUACUUUCAGCGGGGAGGAAGGGAGUAAAGUUAAUACCUUUGCUCAUUGACGUUACCCGCAGAAGAAGCACCGGCUAACUCCGUGCCAGCAGCCGCGGUAAUACGGAGGGUGCAAGCGUUAAUCGGAAUUACUGGGCGUAAAGCGCACGCAGGCGGUUUGUUAAGUCAGAUGUGAAAUCCCCGGGCUCAACCUGGGAACUGCAUCUGAUACUGGCAAGCUUGAGUCUCGUAGAGGGGGGUAGAAUUCCAGGUGUAGCGGUGAAAUGCGUAGAGAUCUGGAGGAAUACCGGUGGC
rnacentral:rRNA from 1 species